GGAGGUUCAGGGAGCUGCGGUGGACGCCAAUUUGGUUCGCGUGGUGGAGAUUUGGUGCGUCACGGUGCUGCAAUGGUUCAACAUCUGGUUCCAUGGUGACGCGUUUCGAGAAGAUGGAGAUCCAGUGGUUUCUGGUGGGUAAAGGCGCUGUGGUGCUCGCGGCACGGUGCAGGAACGCUGCAGUGGCUCGACGUUGACGCUGCUGUGGUGGUUCACCGGCGAGAUGCGUGGUGGUUCAAAAGGGGGGUGCGGAGGUUGCUUCGAUGAACGAACCUAGUGAGAGUGUUGAAAGUGACGAUGACGUGGCGACAUGUGAUUGGUUCAAAUGAAUGUGUUAGGAUCACCAUGUGGUAUCAGGACACGUGAUCUAAUCUGAGUUUGUGAGGUGAAAAUAGGUAAAUAUAGAGUUUGAAGUGGAUUUCAUGUGAUCCAUCUAAAGGAGAGUGUAUAAGUAAAGUAAAGGUUUUUAAAACAGAUUUUUUUUUUCUUUCAAAAUUUAUUGAUUUUUUGUUUUAUU
rnacentral:sRNA from 1 species